CAGCCGCCACGGUAAUACAGAGGGUGCGAGCGUUAAUCGGAUUUACUGGGCGUAAAGCGUGCGUAGGCGGCUUCUUAAGUCGGAUGUGAAAUCCCCGAGCUUAACUUGGGAAUUGCAUUCGAUACUGGUUAGCUAGAGUGUGGGAGAGGAUGGUAGAAUUCCAGGUGUAGCGGUGAAAUGCGUAGAGAUCUGGAGGAAUACCGAUGGCGAAGGCAGCCAUCUGGCCUAACACUGACGCUGAGGUACGAAAGCAUGGGGAGCAAACAGGAUUAGAUACCCCGGUAGUCCCUGUCUCUUAUAC
rnacentral:rRNA from 1 species